UUUGUACUCCCUCAGUCCAACAAAGGAUGUCUCAAUUUUGACUAAAUUUGAAUGCAUCUAUACACUAAGUUAUGUCUAUAUACAUCCAAGUUUUGACAAACUUGAGACAUCCUUUGUUGGACGGAGGUAGUACAUG
rfam:Brachypodium distachyon strain Bd21 chromosome 2, whole genome shotgun sequence.